GUAACUGUGAAUAAGAUUUUUCAACUUUUAUUAAGUAAGUGAUAAUUAGGAAUUUAUGUACAAACAGUAAGUCCUAGUUGAAGCUUUAGCUGCAAACCCAAGAGGAAAAGUCUGUUAAGUGUGGCCAUCGAUAGGAGUCUGGUACAAUGCAUGGUUUGCGAUGACCACGAAUGGAAAUGCAGUGUGUUCUCUGAAACACCUGGAAUCGCUCAGCUGUGUUGAUGGGAAACGGUUCCCUGUGGAGAUGAACUGAAAAAAGCAGGCUGCAGACCCUGUAUAGAACAUUGUAACUAUGAUAAAAAUGAAAAAGGAGGGAGACACAAACGUUUGCAAACAGCGCAUAUGCAAGGAUUAACAAACAGGCUGCACAGUGGUUAUCUCUGGAAAAGGAAAUUGUGGGUCGUUGGCUAGAAGGCAGGAACUUGCUGCUGCAGCUGGGCGCAUUGGCACUGUGGAAUUAGUGUAACAGGCUCAGGUGCCACCCACUGAAUUAAUUAAACUAGACAGUAAACUGGAACAACAAAAGCCAACGCAUUACCACUUGUUCCAGUUCAGUGAUUAUUUAAGCAAACACAUAAUUUUGCUGAAACUGUGUGAUAAUAGGCCUUAAUGAUGUUGGUGUGUAAACAGGAGCAACAGGUCCCCAGGCAGCAGCAUGACCACUGUGUGAAGACCUCCAGACUUGCCUUGUUCCAAAAAAACCAGAAGAAGAGCAUGACCAGAGCUAUUCAAAAAUCUUUUUGGCAAGUUCCCACAGCCGGGGAAAUCAAAUGCACUAGAAAAUUCCUUGGAAAGACUGGCCAUAACCUCAGGGCUACUGGCUGUGGCUGGACGGUGGUGCCCUGCCCAAGAUACUGCUGAGAGCGGCUCAAGCUGAGUAACUGCCCUGCUGGCCGUGGUGAGCCAGGUUCGGAGCCCCGGUGCCCUGCAGAGGCUCCCAGGUCUGAAGCACACAAAGCCACGCCCUGGCCCCCAGAACUGGCACAAGAGGCCCCGUGUUGGGUCUGGAGCCGCUGAGUCGCACCCUUCACAUACUCAUCCUGCUCACUGGCUUCCUGCCGUGACAUUUCUAUAGUCCAUAAACCCACGCUCUGGGAACAGGUUUCUGCAACUACUGCUCUGCUUUGAAAGCCUGCCCUCGGCCAGGCAUGGUCGUGCAAUCCCAGCACUCUUCGAGGGCUGAGCCAGGAGGAUUGUAAGUUUGAGGCCAGUCCAGGCAACUUAGCAACUUAGCGCGAUACUGCUUCAAAUUAAAAGGGCCACGGAUGUGGCUCAUUGCAAAGAUCCUGGAUUCAAUCCCCAGCAGUAACCCUGCCCUUUCCAGCCCUUAACUUGAGAAGUUGGCUGGCACCACUGGGCGUAAGAUGCCCCUAAGCUCCGCUGGGAUGGAAGUCCCUGCCCCACUGUGUCUCCUUGGGCCUCGGGCUACCAGGGUGGCAGAGACUGUUAGGAGGUGACAGUAACUCCUUGCAGGAUUCCCAAAGUGCAGUCCCUACUGUUCAAACUGGACGCCCAGGGCCCGCAGCCCUCGCCUUGUCCCUGACAGCUCAGCCCCCUGACUUGGUCCCGCAGACACCAGCCGAAUUUGGACCACAGGAAAGAACGCCUGCACCAAAAUGCCAUUUUUCAUGAAGAAUCAAGUUAUUUUCACUUUCUUCACUCUCUUUGUUUAGUACAAUAAGAUUUUU
rnacentral:lncRNA from 1 species